GGGAUUGCCUCAGUAACGGCGAGUGAAGCGGCAAAGCUCAAAUUUGAAACCCUCGGGAUUGUAAUUUGAAGAUUUGGCAUUGGAGAAAGCUAACCCAAGUUGCUUGGAAUAGUACGUCGUAGAGGGUGACAACCCCGUCUGGCUAACCGUUCUCCAUGUAUUGCCUUAUCAAAGAGUCGAGUUGUUUGGGAAUGCAGCUCAAAGUGGGUGGUAAACUCCAUCUAAAGCUAAAUACUGGUGAGAGACCGAUAGCGAACAAGUACUGUGAAGGAAAGGUGAAAAGAACUUUGAAAAGAGAGUGAAAUAAUAUGUGAAAUUGUUGAUAGGGAAGGAAAUGAGUGGAGAGUGGCCGAGGUUUCAGCCGCCCCUCGUGGGCGGUGUACUGCCGACGCCGAGUCAUCGAUAGCGAGACGAGGGUUACAAAUGGGAGCGCCUUCUGGCGUUCUCCCCUAACCCUCCACACUGCCACCGACUACAUAAUCCACCCAUUUCACCCGUCUUGAAACACGGACCAAGGAGUCUAAUGGAUAUGUGAGUGUUAGGGUGGCAAACCCCAGCGCGCAAUGAAAGUGAAUGGAUUCGUUCAGAA
rnacentral:rRNA from 1 species